rnacentral:lncRNA from 1 species
GACUGAGUGUAAGGUGCCAUGUCAGGCAUGGGGGUGUUGAGAUGAGGAAGGCCGACCUAGUGCAGUUGGACUGAGUGUCAGGUGCCAUGUCAGGCAUGGGGGCGUUGAGAUGAGGAAGGCCGACCUAGUGCAGAUGGACUGAGUGUCAGGUGCCAUGUCAGGCAUGGGGGCGUUGAGAUGAGGAAGGCCGACCUAGUGCAGAUGGACUGAGUGUCAGGUGCCAUGUCUGGCAUGGAGGCGUUGAGAUAAGGAAGGCUGACCUAGUGUAGAUGGACUGAAUGUCAGGUGCCAUGUCAGGCAUGGGGGCAUUGAGAUGAGGAAGGCCAACCUAGCGCAGAUGGAGAGAACCA